rnacentral:rRNA from 1 species
UGGGGAAUUUUGGACAAUGGGGGAAACCCUGAUCCAGCCAUGCCGCGUGAGUGAAGAAGGCCUUCGGGUUGUAAAGCUCUUUCGGCCGGGACGAAAUCGCAAGCGUGAAUAUCGCUUGUGGAUGACGGUACCGGCAUAAGAAGGACCGGCUAACUACGUGCCAGCAGCCGCGGUAAUACGUAGGGUCCAAGCGUUAAUCGGAAUUACUGGGCGUAAAGCGUGCGCAGGCGGUUUUGUAAGCCAGAUGUGAAAGCCCCGGGCUCAACCUGGGAACUGCAUUUGGGACUGCAAGGCUUGAGUACAGCAGAGGGGGGUAGAAUUCCUGGUGUAGCAGUGAAAUGCGUAGAUAUCAGGAGGAAUACCGAUGGCGAAGGCAGCCCCCUGGGUUGAUACUGACGCUCAUGCACGAAAGCGUGGGGAGCAAACAGG